GAAAGCGUUCACACAGGGGAAAGGGGUGUGUCGCCAACCGAGAGAGUGUGUUUCGCCCCCACGGGGGGAAUGACACCCGCGCCCCUUUUUCUCUAGGGGGAGGCACCCUGUAGGGUAUUCUUCCCGCAAGGGAAGAAAUUUUGGACGGAAGAAACCGCCGCGUGGAGUGAAGAAGGUUUUUGGAAUCGAAAAGCUCUGUUGUUAGGGAAGAACAAGUACCGUUCGAAUAGGGCGGUACCUUGACGGUACCUAACCAGAAAGCCAGGGCUAACUACGUGCCAGCAGCCGCGGUAAUACGUAGGUGGCAAGCGUUGUCCGGAAUUAUUGGGCGUAAAGGGCUCGCAGGCGGUUUCUUAAGUCUGAUGUGACAGCCCCCGGCUCAACCGGGGAGGGUCAUUGGAAACUGGGGAACUUGAGUGCAGAAGAGGAGAGUGGAAUUCCACGUGUAGCGGUGAAAUGCGUAGAGAUGUGGAGGAACACCAGUGGCGAAGGCGACUCUCUGGUCUGUAACUGACGCUGAGGAGCGAAAGCGUGGGGAGCGAACAGGAUUAGAUACCCUGGUAGUCCACGCCGUAAACGAUGAGUGCUAAGUGUUAGGGGGUUUCCGCCCCUUAGUGCUGCAGCUAACGCAUUAAGCACUCCGCCUGGGGAGUACGGUCGCAAGACUGAAACUCAAAGGAAUUGACGGGGGCCCGCACAAGCGGUGGAGCAUGUGGUUUAAUUCGAAGCAACGCGAAGAACCUUACCAGGUCUUGACAUCCUCUGACAAUCCUAGAGAUAGGACGUCCCCUUCGGGGGCAGAGUGACAGGUGGUGCAUGGUUGUCGUCAGCUCGUGUCGUGAGAUGUUGGGUUAAGUCCCGCAACGAGCGCAACCCUUGAUCUUAGUUGCCAGCAUUCAGUUGGGCACUCUAAGGUGACUGCCGGUGACAAACCGGAGGAAGGUGGGGAUGACGUCAAAUCAUCAUGCCCCUUAUGACCUGGGCUACACACGUGCUACAA
rnacentral:rRNA from 1 species